CCUACGGGUGGCAGCAGUGGGGAAUAUUGCACAAUGGGGGGAACCCUGAUGCAGCGACGCCGCGUGAGUGAAGAAGUAUUUCGGUACGUAAAGCUUUAUCAGCAGGGAAGCAAAAAGGAUGGUAUCUGAGUAAGAAGCCCUGACCAACUACGUGCCAGCAGCCGGCGCAAUACGGGGGGGGCAAGUGAUACCCGGAAUUACUGGGGGUAAAGGGAGGGUAGGCGGGAAUGGAAGUCCGGGGUGGAAUGCGGCGGGGCAACUGCCGAACUGCUCUGGAAACUGUAUGGCUUGAGUGCCGGAGGGGUAAGCGGAAUGCCUGGUGUAGCGGUGAAAUGCGUAGAUAUCAGGAAGAACACCGAUGGCGAAGGCAGCAUACUGGACUGUAACUGACGUUGAGGCUCGAAAGCGUGGGGAGCGAACAGGAUUAGAUACCCUAGUAGUC
rnacentral:rRNA from 1 species